rnacentral:rRNA from 1 species
GACAGCGGCGAUAGCACGUUGAAUACACCAUUUUCCAAUGGAUCACUGAAGUUAAGGAACAUUGCGCGUGGUUAGUAUCCGGAUGGGUGACCAUCUGGGCAAUCGCGUGCUGCUGGGU